GGACGAACACCUAGCCGCGCUUCGAGAGAUGUGGGAUCGGGUCCACCUUGCUCUAACACGUGCUGCGGCAUCCCAGAAGAAGCUCGCUGAUCCCCAUAGGGCUGCAGCUCCCGCUUAUGUACCGGGUGACAGGGUAUGGCUAUCCAUGAAAAACCUCUGUGUCCCCUCCAUGACAUUUCAGUUCCUACGGACUGUUAUCAAGACCUUGAUAAAAGUCUGUAGGGACUGAAACAUUGAUUUUCUAUGUGCUGAAUAAAAGCAACAGCUUUAUAUUUUCAACAGACCCCUGAGUGAACUUGUCUUGAUUUUAGUAAUAUACAU